GCUAAAAUAGCAAAUAAGGCCAGGCAUUCUUCGACAAUAAUCUAAUAACUUUACAAUGUAACUUCAUUUGGCCCCGGCAGAUGAGGAGUAUGUCUUCCUCUGCUUGUGAUAAUAAGAACGAAGCGUGGAUUGUUGUCAUGCGACUCGAUGUCCUAUCGACCACAGCAGGUUGAGGUGAUGAAACAAUCGCUUUUGUCAAAUAUUAUCUAUACAUUGACAUAUCAUUUUAGUUAAUGAUAUAUUCUUAAUGAUCAGCAAAAUUCUUCUAAAACACCAAAAAUAUUUUGAAAUUGCGAUUUUUUCUUUUUUGAUUACGGAGUAUACUUUGCGCUUACAAAUUAGUCGAAUCUUAAAAUCAAUAUUGUUGUGGGGCAGUUCAUUGAUAUAAAAGUAACUUAUUUAUACAUGUACUGAUGAUCACGUGGAUCUUUAAAUUUUAACAGAAUUAUAUGCAGUGAUUUUGCCAUGUUACUGUAGAUAUCACAAUAGAAUGUGUCUGAACUCUACUGUAUUGUCAGUCUGGACAAAUUAUGUACCCAGAAUAGAGUUCCACAUAUGUUGCCCUGAGUGCAAUUCGCCCCAAAGUAUGUUUGGUCUGUUGUGUUUAUUAACAGAGAGCAAUGAUUUUUUGAUUAAUCACUUUUUAUUCCGAAUAUCUGAUUAAUUUUUGUAGCGUAGUCUCAGGUAAUACGAGAUUUCUUCAUGUUCAUGAAAUAAACUAUUAUUUUGUU
rnacentral:misc_RNA from 1 species